rnacentral:rRNA from 1 species
AGAGGGUGAAAAGAACCUGAAACCGUUACGGCAGAAGCGUAUUGCUGUCGAAGUGCCAAGUAUGCGUUGUUCAAUAAAAAAAACUUUUAUGUAUUCAACGAUAUAUUUUCCGCGCAUGUAUUGUGAGUGAUGGAUUUUGCAUUGCUUGCGGUAGAGGUAUCCCUCAAAACGAGGUGAAGAUGCGCGGGUCUAGACGCGAUGCGACCCGUCUUGAAACACGGACCAAGGAGUGUAGCACAUUUGCGAGUCAAAGGGUUUUGAAACCUGAGGGCGCAGUGAAAGCGAAAAAUAGAAAAUAUGCUAUUUGAGGCGGCAUACGAUCGUUGAUUGUACGUCCGACCUGGAGCAAAUGUGGUACGACCCGAAAGAUGGUGAACUAUGCCGGGGUAGGGCGAAGCCAGAGGAAACUCUGGUGGAGGCUCGUAGCGGUGCUGACGUGCAAAUCGCUCGUCUAACCUGGGUAUAGGGGCGAAAGACUAAUCGAACCAUCUAGUAGCUGGUUCCCUCCGAAGUUUCUCUCA